CACAAAAGCGUACUUAGUCCCCACAAUAUUCAUAAAUGUAAUUCAACGGUCCAAAUAGUCAAUCUCCCCACAAAACUCCUUAAAUAAAAGAAGGAAAGGGGAUGAUAUAGGUAACUUGUUUCAAAAAGCGUGGGAUGAAAUCUUUUAUGAACCGUAGCUCAUAUCAAUAAACUGGUUGUGCUGGGCAGUAGCCUGCGUUUAGAGUGAUCAUAUUGGGCAUUUUACUACAUGUGAAUUAAGAUCAAAUCUAUGAAAACGAGGGUAACAGGAAUUACUUUUUAAAUGAACAUGUUUUGCUUUUACAGCGCAUCUCAGUUAACGUGCUCUGUAACACAUUGUAUUCUAAGCGGCUCUCAGAAUAAAUAAAUAAGAAAGUAAUAUCAUUCAGACAGCUGGGUCUAUUCAUUCGUCUCAAUUACAAAAGCAUCACCCUUUACUUUUAAUGAUAUCUGUAAAAGUUGACAGCGACUUACUGACUACGUUACCCAUGAGCGUUCUCUGCCGUUGCCAUGGUGAAGACGCAAGCUAUCUGGUGGCGUAAGCACUGUCGUCAGUUUUAGCGGGGAUUUCGCUCUUUCGCUCCCGAACUCCUGUUAAGCUCCUUUAUAGUCAACCCCCAUCACUCCUUCUUGUCGUCACUUUGAAUACCCAAAGGCACUUUUAAGAGCCACAUCCAUCUAUCUAUCUAUCUAUCUAUCUAUCUAUCUAUCUAUCUAUCUAUCUAUCUGCCUGUCUAUCUGCCUGUCUGUCUGCCUGUCUGUCUGUCAGUCUGCCUGUCUGGGUCCGUCUGUCGGUCUGUCUGUCAGUCUGUCUGUCUGGGUCAAUCUGUUUGUGUUGCAAUGGCCACGAGACGUACCAUUGACCGCCAGCAUCCCAGCUACAAAGAGGGGAAACGUAUGGCGCUUGACAUGAAACAAGACCACAUUCUAGCUGAAGCCAAGAGAGCAGUUGAGGAGAGGAAACGGGCACGUUCUGGUGGAGAACAUCCAUGUAGCUCCAACAGUGACUGCGCCAGACGAGGCAAGCCAAGGGGGAGGCGUGGAGGGCGACGCAAAGCCUCAGCUACAGUCACAUUCCCCCCAGCUGAGUGCUCCCUGUCAUCCAAUGUGGACGUUCCACUUACUGCACCCUCAGCACAACUAAAUCCUCAAGAGGCAUUUGAAAAGUUCAUGGAUAGGCUUUCAUCUCUAAAUGCCUCAAGUCCUUCUGCCGAGCCUCAAAGAAGCUCUGCAUUGUCAUGGACUUUUCGGCAGCAGAAAGCCUCAGAGCGCUGGAAAGAAGCCCGACCAUACCACCUACAAUGCCUCAUUGAAAAGGAGGCUGUUGGUCAUCCCUUGUGUUGCCUCUGCCACAAGCCUGCUGUUAUUAGGUGCAGAGAGUGUCUCCCUGAAGAGUGGUUCUGUGGGGACUGCGAUGUACUGCAUCACAAAAAACAGCCACUCCACAACAGGGAAUGUCUGAUACGUGGGUUUUUUGAACCCAUUCCUCCAACCACACAUGUCAUUAGAGGGGAGGGUGGAUAUUACACUCAGGAGCAAGCUUGCAUCUUGCCAACUGUGAGAGUGUCAAACUGCGUCUGUGACGGCACAACCUUCACUGUGUUACCAGGCAAACCAGUGAUUUUAAUUACCAUCAAUGGGCGUUAUGACUUGCAUCAGCCACUGUAUGUAUGUCAGACGUGCCAGCAGCAGUGGACCCCUGACAUGAAGGACCUCCUUGGGAGUGGAUAUUGGCCAGCCUCUGUCAAUACUUCCACGCUGUACACGUUGGACCUCUUGAGCUCCUUUCAGGAACUCA
rnacentral:lncRNA from 15 species